UACGAAGGGGGCUAGCGUUGCUCGGAAUCACUGGGCGUAAAGCGCACGUAGGCGGCUUCUUAAGUCAGGGGUGAAUCCUGGAGCUCAACUCCAGAACUGCCUUUGAUACUGAGGAGCUUGAGUCCGGGAGAGGUGAGUGGAACUGCGAGUGUAGAGGUGAAAGUCGUAGAGAUUCGCAAGAACACCAGUGGCGAAGGCGGCUCACUGGCCCGGUACUGACGCUGAGGUGCGAAAGCGUG
rnacentral:rRNA from 1 species